GGUACCAGGACAAUGAAGGGCCCUAGCAAGAAGAGAAGCCUUGCUGGCCAUUUUCCAUGCCUCAGGAGGCUGUUGGGCCAUUUACUCUGCUUGUGGGCCCAGAGAGGGACAGUGUUUGGCUCCAGGUCAUGCAGCUUAUCAGAGGAGGGCAGGGCUCCAGCCCCAGGCCAGGAUCUGCACAAGGCAGUGUGCUCCCCUGCAGGUCCCGCCACUGAGGCAGCAGGGGACGAGGACGAGGCUUGGCGCUACAUCACAGGGUGUGGCUGGAUGUCAGGACAAUGGGUGGGGGGUGGCGAAGCCUGAUGGGAAAAGACAGCUGCAGAUUUGUCCUCAACCGGCGGGCCAGAGCUGCCCGCCUGCAGCCGUUGCGGUGUUGUCCCUGUGUGCCUGCCCACUCAGCAGGGCUGUUACUAUUCUUACCCACUUGCUGGUGGCAGCGGGGUCAGAGAUAGUGGCUAGGUGGGAGCGAGUCAUGAGUACCAGUCCCUUAUCGAACACGUUCCCUGGAAACUUGGCAGGGGCUACCAGGCUCCGGGGGCCUAGGCAGGGCGGGCAAGGUGGUCACAGGGACGGGGAGCGGGGUGGGCUCACUCGGACAAGGCCUUAUGCCAGCUCACCUACCUCUCCUAGAGCCAGGCAAGUUUCCAUGAGCACCAGCCUCAGGUUUCCAGUGCAAUUUCUUUCCGUAUGGUCAUUAAGACCCUCAAGUCAUCUUCCUAGCCCAUCCACCCCAGAGGGCACCACCUCAGAGCUUUUAAAGAUGAGGUAUUGGUUUCCCCAGUGAGGCCAUAGCCAAGGGGCCACCUCUACAGGGAGAGCACUGUACUGAGCCACAGGGGUCCAGGUUGACCACUGUUCUGCCCACUUCCCAGCUGUGUGACUUUGGGCCACAGUGGAUUGGAUGAUGUCCAGGCUCUUCUUUAUUCAGUCUCCUGAUUCAAAUGCUAAUCUCUUCUGGAAAUACCCUCAGGGCAGAAGUAAAUGAAAAAUAAAAUGAAAAAAUGAAGAAAAAAUGUUUUAUCAGUUAUCAUCCCUUAGCCCCACCAAGUUAACAAGUAAAACCAUCACAGCCAUCUAUCAGAUUCACCAGUUACCAAGACUUUGCUGCUCAUUGACUUCGUCAAUCCUCAGUGUCAUUUCUGCUGUAUUCUAUUCUUUACAAGUAAGCUGCUAAGAGCACCCAGAUUCAAGACGAGGGGAAUUGGAUCUUACUGCUUGAUGGGAGGAGUGGAAAAGAAUUUGUGCUCAACCUUAAAAGCAUAGUCAGGGGACUUCCCUGGUGGUUCCGUGGUAAGUCCCAUUCCAAUGCAGGGGACAAAGCUUUGAUCCCUGGUCAGGGAACUAAGAUCCCACACGCCCUGUUCCACAACGUCAGAGCCCACGUGCUCACAACUAGGACUGGAUGCAGCCAAAAAAAAAAAUUAAAACAAACAAACCAACCACAACCAGAAGCAAAAGGUGGAGGGUUCUAGGCUAUAUCCCAGAGGAGACCAGGGGCCAUGGAAGAAGUGACUCCAGCCUUGCAAGAUAAGACAAAGACUACUUUCUCUUCUCCCGCUCCUUCCUCUGUGUAUGACUGUAGUGCCCCCAUACCUGGGGCGGAAGAUUCUGUGCUUUCUCCCAAAGUGGGGCAAGUGAGAACUUUCCAGAAUCCCAGGAAGGCAGGAAAAGUUAAGAUCUGCGAUAGAGUGAGCUUUGAAAAGUGCCUCUACAGGCUGCUUCUUCUGAAGGUGAGGCUCUCCACACAAGUUAACACUAAGCAAGGACUUCCUGUGUGGCUAGCAGACACCAAAAAUUGGCAGAGAAAACUUCUUUAGGGUAGGCCUUUUUUUUUUUUUUUUUAAUGUGGAACAUUGUUAAAGUCUUUAUCACAUUAGUUACAGUGUUGCUUAUUUCAUGUUUCAGAUUUUUGGCCGCAAGGCAUGUGGGAUCUUAGCUCCCCAGGCAGGGAUCAAACCUGCAUCCUCUGCAUUGGGAG